rnacentral:rRNA from 1 species
UGAAUACGAGAUGCUACGGCGUCGAAGCAGUGUAUGUCAGACUUCCAAGAAAAGCUCGCAAUGUCAUAAAUAAAGAAUGCCUGUACCAUAACCGACACAGGUGGGUAGGUAGAGUAUACUAAGGGGCGCGAGAUAACUCUCUCUGAGGAACUCGGCAAAAUAACUCCGUAACUUCGGGAGAAGGAGUGCCUUCUUUAAGAAGGUUGCAAUAACAAGAUCCAAGCAACUGUUUAUCAAAAACACAGGUCUCCGCUAAGUCGUAAGACGAUGUAUGAGGGCUGACGCCUGCCCAGUGCCAGAAGGUUAAAGAAGUUGGUUAGCUUUUGCGAAGCUGAUGACUGAAGCCCUGGUGAACGGCGGCCGUAACAAUAACGGUCCUAAGGUAGCGAAAUUCCUUGUCGGGUAAGUUCCGACCCGCACGAAAGGCGUAAUGAUUUGGAUACUGUCUCGGAGAGGGACUCGGUGAAAUGGACUUGUCUGUGAAGAUGCGGACUACCUGCACCAGGACAGAAAGACCCUAUGAAGCUUUACUGUAACUUGAAAUUGAAAUUGGACUUUAUUUGCGCAGCAUAGGUGGAAGGCGUUGAAAGUAAUCUUGCGGGAUUAGUGGAGCCAUCAGUGAGAUACCACUCCUAUAAUGUUAGAUUUCCAACUUUGGAUCAUGAUCUGGUCAAAGAACAGUUUCAGGCGGGCAGUUUGACUGGGGCGGUCGCCUCCCAAAUGGUAACGGAGGCGUACAAAGGUUUCCUCUGAACGGGUAGAAAUCGUAUCUAGAGUGUAAAGGCAUAAGGAAGCUUGACUGUGAGACCUACAAGUCGAGCAGGGACGAAAGUCGGUCUUAGUGAUCUGACGGUGCUGAGUGGAAAGGCCGUCAGUCAACGGAUAAAAGUUACUCUAAGGAUAACAGGCUGAUCUCCCCCAAGAGUUCACAUCGACGGGGAGGUUUGGCACCUCGAUGUCGGCUCAUCGCAUCCUGGGGCGGUAGUACGUCCCAAGGGUUGGGCUGUUCGCCCAUGAAAGCGGUACGCGAGCUGGGUUCAGAACGUUGUGAGACAGUUCGGUCCAUAUCCGGUGUAGGCGUUAGAAUAUUGAGAGGAGCCUUCUUUAGUACGAGAGGACCGAGAAGGACAUACCUCUGGUGUACCAGUUAUCGUGCCAACGGUAAACGCUGGGUAGCUAUGUAUGGAGAGGAUAACCGCUGAAAGCAUCUAAGUGGGAAGCCCACCUCAAGAUGAGUAUUCUCAU